AUACGUAGGUGGCAAGCGUUGUCCGGAUUUACUGGGCGUAAAGGGAGCGUAGGCGGAUACUUAAGUGGGAUGUGAAAUACCUGGGCUUAACUUGGGUGCUGCAUUCCAAACUGGGUGUCUAGAGUGUUGGGGAGGAAAGUGGAAUUCCUAGUGUAGCGGUGAAAUGCGUAGAGAUUAGGAAGAACACCAGUGGCGAAGGCGACUUUCUGGACAAUAACUGACGCUGAGGCUCGAAAGCGUGGGGAGCAAACAGGAUUAGAUACCCUGGUAGUCCACGCCGUAAACGAUGGGUACUAGGUGUAGGGGGUAUCGACCCCCCCUGUGCCGCCGUUAACACAAUAAGUACCCCGCCUGGGGAGUACGGUCGCAAGAUUAAA
rnacentral:rRNA from 1 species